ACGAAUCUCUUUGCCUUUUGGCUUAGAUCAAGUGUAGUAUCUGUUCUUUUCAGUGUAACAACUGAAAUGACCUCAAUGAGGCUCAUUACCUUUUAAUUUGUUACAAUACACAUUUUUUGGCACCCAAAAUAAUAAAAUGGACGGGAAGAGACUUUUUAAGCAAGUUGUUUUCCGCUAAUGUCAGGUCUCACUACUUUUUGCUGCUAUUUUUCUUCGCUCAUGGUUUCUUCAUAAGGCGUUUUUAUGAUGGUUUUUCGAAAUUGGUUUUUGAGACGACGGUUGCUCAAGGUUAUUGUUUUUGUUUUUUUCUGGUUGUUUUCUAUUUUCUUUUUUUUAGCUUUCUGUUUCUCCCUUAGUUUGGCUUUUUGCUUCAUACUCUUCCCUGUCUUUCCGAGCCGUUUAUGUCCAACGCGGGAUUUGGUUUUUCUUUAUCGAUGGGAAAAAAUGGUGCUAUAGUAGGUUGGGAGAUAAUAUUUAUGGUAUGGGGUGCUAGUGCGGAUGGGGCGCUCUUAUUGUUGAUUUCUUCGCUCGUCUUCUUUUUCUGGUGGCGCUGCAAGAGGAAGUUUUUCGACUUUGUUAUGAUUUUUGGUUUGCAAGGAAAGGUGUCUUACGAUUCUUUUUUUGAUGUAAUAGGAUAAGCUUGCUUAUCCCCCAAGUAUCGGCCAAAGUUGUUGAUUUUCCUUUUGAAGUGUCCUCGGUUUGAGGGGGUGUAGGGUGGGGUUGGUCUACAAUAAGAGUGUUCCAUUGUUAACGUGCUGGCGUCUUUUACUAUAUUUUUUUUCCCAGUUUAUUUUGUGCUUAUUUUCUCAUUGAGGAGAAGGAGCUCUUCUCGCAGGAUAUAAAUGGAGGUUUGCUAAAGGGGAGGAGAUGUGUUUGUGAGAAUACUGCUGAGAGAGUUCUGGAAGAGAAAAAAAGGAGGCAAUGGAAGGCGUUUGCUGGGAAAAGAGAAGAGCCAUGACUGCAUCUGUUGUUUCAAGGCCAGUUUUAUUAACCGCCUAUGUCAUAGAGGCGUUUUUUUUUGGAGGGAUUUGAAGAAUGCCGGCGGCAUCAAGAAACGGACUUGAUGGUUGACGCCUGUUUUUAAAGUUAGAGACGUCGCGACCCUCGCACUUGUGGAGUCGUUCUUGACUUUUACUUUGGUCGCUUGAUGUUUCUCUCGUCUUCCCGUUCGCUCUU
rnacentral:snRNA from 1 species